rnacentral:tRNA from 1 species
GGAGGGGUGGCCGAGUCCGGCUUAAGGCGGCGGUCUUGAAAACCGCUUCUCCACUUUGUGGGGACGGGGGUUCAAAUCCCUCCCCCUCCG